AUUGAACGCUGGCGGCAGGCCUAACACAUGCAAGUCGAGCGGCAGCGGAAAGUAGCUUGCUACUUUGCCGGCGAGCGGCGGACGGGUGAGUAAUGUCUGGGAAACUGCCUGAUGGAGGGGGAUAACUACUGGAAACGGUAGCUAAUACCGCAUAACGUCGCAAGACCAAAGAGGGGGACCUUCGGGCCUCUUGCCAUCAGAUGUGCCCAGAUGGGAUUAGCUAGUAGGUGGGGUAAUGGCUCACCUAGGCGACGAUCCCUAGCUGGUCUGAGAGGAUGACCAGCCACACUGGAACUGAGACACGGUCCAGACUCCUACGGGAGGCAGCAGUGGGGAAUAUUGCACAAUGGGCGCAAGCCUGAUGCAGCCAUGCCGCGUGUAUGAAGAAGGCCUUCGGGUUGUAAAGUACUUUCAGCGGGGAGGAAGGCGAUAAGGUUAAUAACCUUGUCGAUUGACGUUACCCGCAGAAGAAGCACCGGCUAACUCCGUGCCAGCCGCCGCGGUAA
rnacentral:rRNA from 1 species